rnacentral:rRNA from 1 species
GUGCUGAAAGCAUCUAAGCACGAAUCCCAUCCCGAGACAAGUUAUUCUUUCGUAAGAUGAAGGUCGGCAGCAGAAGACUGCGUUGAUAGGAAGGUGGUGUA